CUCUCUCUCUCUCUCCAUAUAUAAAUAUAUAUAUAUAAAUCUUUUCUUCUUUUGUCAUUCAAUCAAAUUCCAACAACCCAACCAGAGCCAGUCAAAUCCACCACAGUCUCGCGCUGAGCUAGGAAUAAAGUUCACGUAAUCACAUGAGAGUGGAGAAAACAGUCCCCCAUCCGGCAGGAUGCUGAACGGGCUACAUUAAAAAACAAACCUCUCUCUCUCUCUAUUUAUAAAUGAGAACUGUUGGAUGACACCUUUGACAUAUCAGCCAAUACCAAGCAAGCUGAGGACUCCAGACACUCUGUGACUGUAACAUUUCUUCAAGGGAAGUAUAGCGUCUAUGGAGUUCAGAGGGCACGUGUUUGGGGAAAAUACAUAUGACAUAAAGAAGAAGAAGAUGAAGAAAAAUUGAGAAAAAAAACAUACAAAAAAGGCAACUUUUAAAACAAAAUAACUUGAGACCAGAUGGGGAGGCUGAAGGGCUGGGAACUGGAAAGAGACGCUGCGCUGCUUACCGAUCCCCGGGGCUUUCCAGCCCGUGGGCGCCUGCGGCAGGCUGGGGCGAGCGGUGUGCGGGGCCUGGUCCCCAGGGGCGGCUGGGAGGCCGCCACGGAGCAUCUCUAUCUGUCAUUCCUUUAGCUAUUUAGGGACCAAAGGACCAAACUUUUUAUUGCAGAUGUGUAGCUCUAUGUCAAACAGGGGGAACGGAGGAGCACCUCCUUCCUGCCUCCUGGCUGUUCUCGAAACAGCUUAGAGCGAUUCUAUGAAAAAUAUAAGAAAAAAGUAAAAAAAAAAAACACAAAAAACACAAAAACACAAAAAAAGGAAAAAUAAUGCUUAAAUGCUUUUAAAACAGCAAGAUAAUAGUUCUUUGAUACUUCGAGAGGCGCUUUGAUUACCCUCAUUCAAGUCUUAGACACUUUCCUAUGGUUUUCUGUAUUAUAUGUCUGGAUGGAGCUGUUAAGAGGAACAAAUUGGUGGAUAUUUGGGGAAAGCAGCAAAAAUAUUAAAGCUCCUUAACUGUAAAGUGUGAGAAAACGAGGGGAAAAAAGGGACUCACAAGGCAAGAGAAUUGUUGUGAAAAGUCUGUAAAUGCUUCUAACUCUUCCCCCCUCUUACAAACAUAAUAGUUGUACAGAAUUUUAAAAAGGAGAAGUUUAAAAUACCUAUAUAAUAGAAGAAAAAUUAGAGGAAAGCAAAAAAUAAAAAAAUAAUAAAAAAGGAAAAAAAAAACUUAUAGAAGUUAGCAUUACUGCUAAAAUCCCAGAUGUUGUAGGACUGUACUUUUGUAGAGUUUAGACUGAGCAUCAAUCCCUUCUCCCCGCGAGUGAGUGCUGUCCGAUGAUGACACCAUUGACCCCGAGGGCCAGGCCGAUGGCCCAGACCUACGGGCUCCUGGCUGCCCACCGCCUGGAGGCCGCGCCAGGGCAGGAAGGCCCAGCCGCCCUCACCUCGCUUCGCCGGAGCUGUGCGCUCGUCGCUCUCCGAAAGCCCUGGACCUUUGCUUCACUCGCCUUCCAUGCUUGCUCCAGAGACUUUCCGGGCAAGGGGACCUGGGAACUUUCAUCUUAAAACAACUAAACAACACACACACACACACACACACACACACACAAUACCUUAAACAAGAGAGAGAAAAAAAAACAAUCUUUGAAGAAUUUCUGAAACUGUUUACAAGGAAUUUUGAAAAACAGGGAUGUUUAAAUGAUGCCGGCUCUGUUUUUCUGUAAAUAAAUUUGCAUAUUUUGUAGGACUUUUAAUUGUAAUGAUAGAGAAAAAAACAAGGAAAACUAUUUAAUGAAAGCACGAUAUUUAUCUUUGGUAAAUGACUUUAGAGCAGUUAAAAAAAGACAUUGCUUAAAAAAAAACUCAGAAUCAGAAAAGCGCUGAUUUAUUUAAGAACGCGUAUAUUUUAAAGGAUAACAUAUUUAUUAUAAUUUAUUUGCGCCAUUGGGAAGACUUGCUUUGGUAUUUGCCCUGUUACCCUCCUCACUGACGUCAGGUCAGCGUGAGGCCAGGGGGCGUGUGGACCUACCAUGUUUUUCCUGUUUUGUUUUAGCUGGUUCCUCUAGGACCUCCUGCCUUUCCUUUCUUUCUAUUUUGUUGGUUAUUUAUUAUUUUUAAACUUUUCUUUUUCUUUCUCUUGGCUCCUCCUUUUAGGAUGUCCAGAUGUUGUAAACAAAACAAAACAAAACCGCUGCAGUUCAGUACAACUGCUCUUUUCACACUCAACUCCCUAAAACUCCUUGUAACCUUCUGUAACUAUUGGAUGACGCUUUCUCCAGCUUAGCCCUAAAUAAAGCACAGUUUAAAAAAAAAA